GGCUGACCUCUAAAGAAAAGGAGGUGUAUCCUAGAAGAUGAAACUGUUUGAUCUUCUUUACCUGGUGACGGCCCUUCCUGGAAUUCUGUCCCAGAUUCAGCUUCAAGAGUCAGGACCUGGCCUGGUGAAGCCGUCACAAUCACUGUCCCUCACCUGCUCUGUCACCGGUUACUCCAUUACUAGUGGUUACGAAUGGAGCUGGGUCAGGCAGUCCCCAGAGAAGAAAUUGGAGUGGAUAGGGUACAUAAGUUAUAGUGGUGGUACUAGUUACAACCCGUCAUUUAAGAGCCGCAUCUCCAUCACUAGAGACACAUCCAAGAACCAGUUCUUCUUGCAACUGAACUCUCUGACCACUGAGGACACAGCCACAUAUUACUGUGCAAGAUUUGAUGAUCAAUUUUUUGAUAUCUUUGAAUAUUUUGAAGAUCAGCCCUUUGAUAUUCAUUGCAUCAAGUAG